GUGGCCAGAGGGGUGUCGCUAAGGCAAAACACGCUGGGCUUCAUGGUGGAAAGCCCGUGUUGGCUUUGUGGUUUGCUGCAUCCAGAAGGGAGGUGCAGUAAGAAAAAUAGUGGUGCAGGAAUUAAAACCUUUGGGUCUGGUGGCCCAAGCCCACGCGUGAGGGGCAAGGUUUGAAGGGAGUAGAGUCAGCAACAAUUCAUUUCACAUUUUCAUCGUGUUUUCCACUCUCUCCCUCUCAAAAUUCUCAUCGCCAGAGAAAUGCUCCACCAUGCCGGAAGUCGCUUCCGGCGGCGGAGCUCUUCCAACCCAUGAAAAUCAACUAUCAGAAAACUCGUCUUGUGUCGUCUUCCCCAAAUCUUGUAUUUGUUUCACCAAAUUUUUCCUAAUCUCUCCAGAUUACCCAAAUUAAUUGAAGAACCCUAAUAUUUCAUAGUGAAAUUAAAUGGAAGUGAAGGCCCGAAAUGAAAUGAAACCAUAGGGGUUUGGUUCCUCUACUUCAAGGUUACAUUGUGGUAACGAAAUUUAAGCAAGAAGAAGAUGGAACAGAAGGAACUACCAACCUACAAGGAGGAGGUAGGCUUGGAACACGUUUAAUGUGAAGCUGAUGAAGAUGGAGCAAGAAAUCAAGAGGAUCUUCAAUUAGGACUAUUAGGCAUAUGAGGUGGCUUGCCAUGGGAUGGCAUAACACACAUGGUUCAUGAAGGUUUAAUCAAAGCAUAUGAAGGAUAUUGAGAUCAUAGAAGCACUUUGAGGCACAAGGAUAAAAGACAUAUGAGAGUCAAGACCAAAGAACUUUGUUAGAGUUCUAGGAUAGUGACUUUGGUCAAUUGUUUGACCAAAAAGUCAAUAAUUGACCCAAAAGUCAACAAUUGGCAAAAAAUCAACCGUUGACCAAAAGUCAGUAUUUGACCAAAAGUCAAUUAUAGGUCAAAAUGAUGUAAUUAUGUUUAGAAUUUGAUUUUUGGAUGUUGUAAUGAAUAUUUGAAUGUUUUUGUAAUGGAAAUUGGCCUCUUGGAAUGAAAUGUAAUUUGUGUUUCAAGAAUAAA